GCCCUCUGGAUUCAUUACCUAUCAGAUAUAAACAUUGGUGGCUAUAAAAGGAGGAAGAGUAAAACGGAAACAGACUUGGAUUCUUUUGUGACAUAAAAAA
rnacentral:snoRNA from 1 species